ACUAUAUAUUUUUUGGUAGAAAUAAAAACUAAGAAUUACAGAAUAAGAAGAACAAAACUCUUAGCCGCUCAGACCAUUCUUAAACAGCAUACAAUCCUCAUCUAAAAUUCCCCAAGUGAUCGUGAGGGAUCCUAAAAAAUCUUCAGUUUGCUGCAAUCACCUAGAGCAGUCCUAGUCAUGUGAUUUGCUGCUCUGUUGUGCUAUCUUCUUACAUGUCUUAGGCGCAUGCUGGAGAGUUGGUGAAUUAAUCGCAGCUUUACAAAGUUGUUGUCCGCUGCACAACCAUUUCGAAUAGACUCUAUAAGAAGAGCAUUAUCACUUUCGGCCUCAACUUGGGGAAACCCUUUGUCCCAUGCGAGAGUGAGCCACUCGUAUAACGCCCUUACCUCCACUUGCAAAACAGGCGCAGCCCCUUUAGUCUUUGCAAAGCCUGCAAUCCUGUCUUCGCCUGGUCCAUGAAUUGCAUCCUUUACUAUCUCUCUACCUAAGUCAACCAAUAAAAGG
rnacentral:lncRNA from 1 species